GAUGAAGAACGCAGCGAAAUGCGAUACUUGGUGUGAAUUGCAGAAUCCCGCGAAUCAUCGAGUUUUUGAACGCAAGUUGCGCCCGAAGCCAUUCGGCCGAGGGCACGUCUGCCUGGGUGUCACGCAUCGUUGCCCCCCCAAACUCCGGUUCGGGCGGGGCGGAAGUUGGCCUCCCGUGCGUGCCUGCGCGCGCGGUUAGCCCAAAAGCGAGUCCUCGGCGAUGAGCGCCACGACAAUCGGUGGUUUUUUUACCCUCGUUCCUCGUCGUGCGUGCCCCGUCGCCCGAACGCGCUCUUGCAACCCUUACGCGUCGCCUCGGUGGCGCUCCCAACGCGACCCCAGGUCAGGCGGGACUACCCGCUGAGUUUAAGCAUAUCAAUAAGCGGAGGA
rnacentral:misc_RNA from 1 species